rnacentral:sRNA from 1 species
UGCAUUUGAAGCCCAUGAGGAUGAGAACCUCCGGGGGCGGGGAGCUUCGACUCGAGCGAAGCGAGAGAACGUUGCGCCAGCAACGGCCCGCAGGGCGAGCCACGAAGUGGCGAGUAAUCCUCUAUCACCGACCA